ACAGGGUAGUGGCACAUCCUGGAGAAAGCCCUGCUCUGGGAAUUUGAUUGUGCCUCCAGCCCCCCCUCUUCAAACCCUCUGCCCUGUCCAUUUGCCCUGAAAACCUCCUUAACAUGAGAACCUGCUUAUUUUUAUAGUAUUUGGGCAACACCAUACAACAGCAUCAGCCCUGUUUUCAAAUCAGCCCCUUUGAAUGCUGCAUUAGUAAGAAAAAGUUCCUUCUCUUCACUGAUACAUCUCCAGGCUCUUUACCAAGAAGAGUCUUUGUCUCCCUUUAGCAAACGUGGACACUGAAUUUACACAGGUGUCUUAGCCAAGUUCUUCCAGAGGAGAAACAGCAGCACAGCUGAAAGGUGUUUUAAGUCCCAUCCCAGUGAACCUUCCCAAGAACAGGAAUAAACAAAAGUUAUGUGCAUGUUGAAAAAAGUGUACAAGAUGGAGGAAAAGAGGAAGGUUAAAUCUAGGACGCAAGGCAGUGUGAUGUUCACAUCUCCCUCCUCUCCCACAGGUCACUUCCAGUGUCUGCCAGCCCAUCCCAACCUACACCCCCACCACAGUGGAGUGUUCAGGAUCUACUUGACACGUUUCUUGAAAAAACGAAGUGCUAAAAAAUCCAGGUGUCUCCUGUGCCUUGAUCACAAUCCUGAAUCCAAAGGGGUGAAAAUGUCUCCUCUCCUCUGCAAAACCACGCCGGUGUUCCCGAAGAAAGGAAAUCCCUAGCCAGUGAAGCAGAGCUGUUGCUGGGCUGUUGCUGCCAUCUUCUGCCCACCUGGAAUUUUGCUGCUCACAGCUUCCCCAGCUUUUUGCCCACGUGAAGGGGAAGGAGGUAAGGAAAAUGCAGGGGUGCAAGGGUUUAGGAAUGGGCUCGUGUUCCCUCAUCGGUCAGUGUGGGUGGAGAUCCAGGGGUGUGCCAUGGAGAGUGCCCCUUCAUGCCUUGGCACCCUGGUUGUGGGUGAGGGAUGCCGAGCUCUGCCGAUGGAGAAGGCACAGGCUGUGCCUGAGGAGUCACAUUCAGGAGAUGAAGGGGGUAAAUACACUCACUUAAUGCAAUUGCUAAGUGGACUGUUACUAGACACAGCGUGAGCUGUUCACGGUUCUUCCAGAAAACACAGGGAAAUCAAAUGUUUAAUUCAGAGAGAACAGCAGGACUACGUGAUUUCUCUCCUGACGCCCAUCCAAAAAGGGAUUUUUGGCAGGGAAGCAGAGUGAGUGGUGUGACUGGCACUAAAGCUGUGGCAGCAGAGCAUGUCGUUGAGCAGAAGGUGAGGCUACAGAGCCAUUGUUUUCCAAAA